CCUUCCUACGGGAGGCAGCAGUGGGGAAUAUUGCACAAUGGGCGCAAGCCUGAUGCAGCGACGCCGCGUGCGGGAUGGAGGCCUUCGGGUUGUAAACCGCUUUUGUUCAAGGGCAAGGCACGGUCUUUGGCCGUGUUGAGUGGAUUGUUCGAAUAAGCACCGGCUAACUACGUGCCAGCAGCCGCGGUAAUACGGAGGAUGCGAGCGUUAUCCGGAUUUAUUGGGUUUAAAGGGUGCGCAGGCGGACCAUCA
rnacentral:rRNA from 1 species